GAUCGAGUCUCGUAGAGGUCGAAGCUCUGAAGGUAGCAUCCGUGGGCGACCGGUUCUUCCGCGAUCGGCGCCGCGGCGCCGUUCUCUACCGCCAUUCCCGACCAGAUCCCGAGCCCCGGGCUCGGGCCCGCUCACACGCGCAUCCAAGAAUCGCCCGGAUCACCACUCGGCCGCGCGCCCUAAACCUAGAUCCCCGCCGGGUUGCUUCAGAUACAGCAUCUCCUCCCCGUCCCCCCGCUGUUCUCCCUCCUCCUCCUCCUCCUCCUCACCCUCACCACCUCUCCAAUCCCUUCUCCUCCAUCAAACACCUCCAAAUCGAGCACAAAAUGGCGAACAACAGAUCGGGAAGCGAGGGGGAGGCUCGUCACCUCUACCGCUCGUCGCGACCUCGGGAUCUCCCGAUCGAGGAGACGCGGCGGAAUCGAGCGAAAACGAUUUCUCCGAGAAUUUGGCUUCGAUUUCGCCCUAGAAUUCGGUCUAUUCCGCUAGGAUUUAGGGUUCGAAUUGGGGAAUUGGGGGUGGGUCGGGGUUGCGGAGUGGAGGAGAGGUUCGAGAGAGAGCGAAGCGAAGCCACAGCUCAAUCCACACAAAAACACCCGACGAGUUGGAGGGGGACGGAGCAAAAAAAGAAAAUAGAAAA
rnacentral:lncRNA from 1 species